rnacentral:rRNA from 1 species
CCUACGGGAGGCAGCAGUGGGGGAUAUUGCACAAUGGGGGGAACCCUGAUGCAGCGACGCCGCGUGGGUGAAGAAGGGCCUCGGCGCGUAAAGCCCUGUCAGCAGGGAAGAAAAUGACGGUACCUGAAGAAGAAGCCCCGGCUAACUACGUGCCAGCAGCCGCGGUAAUACGUAGGGGGCAAGCGUUAUCCGGAUUUACUGGGUGGAAAGGGGGCGCAGACGGCGAUGCAAGCCAGGAGUGAAAGCCCGGGGCCCAACCCCGGGACUGCUCUUGGGACUGCGUGGCUGGAGUGCAGGAGGGGCAGGCGGAAUUCCUGGUGUAGCGGUGAAAUGCGUAGAUAUCAGGAGGAACACCGGUGGCGAAGGCGGCCUGCUGGACUGCAACUGACGUUGAGGCCCGAAAGCGUGGGGAGCAAACAGGAUUAGAUACCCUUGUAGUC